UACAGAGGGUGCGAGCGUUGUCCGGAAUCACUGGGCGUAAAGGGCGCGUAGGCGGCUCGGUAAGGUUGCGGUGAAAGCCCGGGGCUCAACCCCGGGUCGGCCGUGGCAACUGCUGAGCUGAAGCACUGUAGAGGCAGGUGGAAUUCCGGGUGUAGCGGUGGAAUGCGUAGAGAUCCGGAAGAACACCGGUGGCGAAGGCGGCCUGCUGGGCAGUGGCUGACGCUGAGGCGCGACAGCGUGGGGAGCAAACAGG
rnacentral:rRNA from 1 species